AUUGAACGCUGGCGGCGUGCUUAACACAUGCAAGUCGAACGAGUGGCGAACGGGUGAGUAAUGUCUGGGAAACUGCCUGAUGGAGGGGGAUAACUACUGGAAACGGUAGCUAAUACCGCAUACCAUCAGAUGUGCCCAGAUGGGAUUAGCUAGUAGGUGGGGUAACGGCUCACCUAGGCGACGAUCCCUAGCUGGUCUGAGAGGAUGACCAGCCACACUGGAACUGAGACACGGUCCAGACUCCUACGGGAGGCAGCAGUGGGGAAUAUUGCACAAUGGGCGAAAGCCUGAUCCAGCCAUGCCGCGUGUGUGAAGAAGGUCUUCGGAUUGUAAAGCACUUUAAGUUGGGAGGCGUUACCAACAGAAUAAGCACCGGCUAACUUCGUGCCAGCAGCCGCGGUAAUAC
rnacentral:rRNA from 1 species